rnacentral:ncRNA from 2 species
UAUACUCUUCGGGGCAGGGUGCGAUUCCCUACCGGCGGUAAAGUCCGCAAGCUUAUUUUUUUUAUAAGCACGAACCGGUUAGAUUCCGGUACCGACAGUUAUAGUCUGGAUGAAAGAAGAUUUUU